UACAGAGGUCUCAAGCGUUGUUCGGAUUCAUUGGGCGUAAAGGGUGCGUAGGCGGCGCGGUAAGUCGGGUGUGAAAUCUUGGAGCUUAACUCCGAAACUGCAUUCGAUACUGCCGUGCUUGAGGACUGGAGAGGAGACUGGAAUUUACGGUGUAGCGGUGAAAUGCGUAGAUAUCGGAAGGAACACCUGUGGCGAAAGCGGCUCACUGGACCAUAACUGACGCUGAGGCGCGAAAGCUAGGGGAGCAAACAGG
rnacentral:rRNA from 1 species